AGCAGCCGCGGUAAUUCCAGCUCCAAUAGCGUAUAUUAAAGUUGUUGCAGUUAAAAAGCUCGUAGUUGAAUUUCGGGGUUAGUAGGUUGGUCAUGCCUCUGGUAUGUACUGGUCUCACUGAUUCCUCCUUCCUGAUGAACCUUAAUGCCAUUAAUUUGGUGUUUUGGGGAAUUUGGACUGUUACUUUGAAAAAAUUGAGUGUUUAAAGCAAGCUAACGCUUGAAUACAUUAGCAUGGAAUAAUGAAAUAGGACGUUCGAUCCUAUUUUGUUGGUUUCUAGGAUUGACGUAAUGAUUAAUAGGGAUAGUUGGGGGCAUUAGUAUUCAAUUGUCAGAGGUGAAAUUCUUGGAUUUAUUGAAGACUAACUACUGCGAAAGCAUUUGCCAAGGAUGUUUUCAUUAAUCAAGAACGAAAGUUAGGGAUCGAAGACGAUCAGAUACCGUCGUAGUCUUAACCAUAACUAUGCCGAUAGGGAUCGGAUGAUGUUAAUUUUUAUGUACUCAUUCGGCUCCGUUACGGG
rnacentral:rRNA from 1 species